GACGAACGCUGGCGGCGUGCUUAACACAUGCAAGUCGAGCGGUAAGGCCCUUUCGGGGGUACGACGAGCGGCGAACGGGUGAGUAACACGUGGGUGACCUGCCCUCAGCUCUGGGAUAAGCCUGGGAAACCGGGUCUAAUACCGGAUAUGACUCCAUGACGCAUGUUGUGGGGUGGAAAGCCUUGUGCGGCUGAGGAUGGGCCCGCGGCCUAUCAGCUUGUUGGUGGGGUGAUGGCCUACCAAGGCGACGACGGGUAGCCGGCCUGAGAGGGCGACCGGCCACACUGGGACUGAGACACGGCCCAGACUCCUACGGGAGGGCAGCAGUGGGGAAUCUUGCGCAAUGGGCGAAAGCCUGACGCAGCGACGCCGCGUGAGGGAUGACGGCCUCGG
rnacentral:rRNA from 1 species